GACGAACGCUGGCGGCGUGCUUAACACAUGCAAGUGGUGCGACGAACCAGGGCUUGCCCUGGGGCUAAGCCGCGAACGGGUGAGUAACACGUGAGUAAUCUGCCCCGAUGACCGGGACAACCCGAGGAAACUCGGGCUAAUACCGGAUGUGGUGCACGGGUAUAAGCCUGUGUACUAAAGGAAGCUUCGGCCUCCGCAUUGGGAGGAGCUCGCGGCCCAUUAGCUUGUUGGUGGGGUAACGGCCUACCAAGGCAACGAUGGGUAGCUGGUCUGAGAGGACGAUCAGCCACACUGGGACUGAGACACGGCCCAGACUCCUACGGGAGGCUG
rnacentral:rRNA from 1 species